rnacentral:rRNA from 1 species
UGAGGAAUAUUGGUCAAUGGGCGCGAGCCUGAACCAGCCAAGUAGCGUGAAGGAUGAAGGUCCUAUGGAUUGUAAACUUCUUUUAUAGCAGAAUAAAGUGACCCACGUGUGGGUUUUUGUAUGUAUGCUAUGAAUAACGAUCGGCUAACUCCGUGCCAGCAGCCGCGGUAAUACGGAGGAUCCGAGCGUUAUCCGGAUUUAUUGGGUUUAAAGGGUGCGUAGGCGGAAAGAUAAGUCAGCCUGUGAAAGUUUGCGGCUCAACCGUAAAAUUGCAGUUGAUACUGUUUUUCUUGAGUGUACAUAAGGUAGGCGGAAUUCGUGGUGUAGCGGUGAAAUGCUUAGAUAUCACGAAGAACUCCGAUUGCGAAGGCAGCUUACCGGGGUACAACUGACGCUGAUGCACGAAAGUGUGGGUAUCAAACA